UAGAGUUGUAAAACUCCCAAACCCAGUGCGAAUCUUACCAGUUGUUUCGUUGCUUCGGCAGGCGGUCCCAGGGCGGGGCCUUUGCCUUUUUCAGGCGCCUGCCGGAGGACCACACACUCUGUUUUUUUGUUAUUCUGAAUACCUAAAGUCUCUACAACGGGACUAAAUAAGUCA
rnacentral:misc_RNA from 1 species